UUUGUAUAUAUAUGUCAAUUUUAUAUGUAUGUAAUUUGUAUACUUUAAUAAAGUGUUUAAAAAAAAGAAAAGAAAAGUAAGACCUUCUCUUCUCCCCCGUUCUGUAGACAUGAUCUUCAACAGCAUUGGACCCUUUCAGGCUAAAAGAUUUGUGUUCAAACCAGAUGAUAAAAAUGGCGUGGAGAUCCAGAGUCAAGUUGAUGCUCUCCUCGAGAGGCAGAAGCGAGACAGUCAGCAGGCAGUUCUAUGAUGCAGCAAGGGGUGCAGGAUAAAUUUCUUGGCGUCUGAAAACUGUCCUUGGAAAGAUUCGUCUCGGAUCUCCAACACCACCUAAUAGGUUGACAGACAGUUCUUCAGGUGGCCCAAAUCUCCAAAGGACUGUAAAUGUUAUACACCAGCUUGAUGGGGAUGCUUAGUAGGAGGCCACGUCUUUGCUCAAACAUACUACAGACAACUCUGUGAUUUUCCAGAAGAUGAAAGACACCUUUCAGCACCGUCAGAGGCUUAUUAAUGACCCAAGCAGAAGCUUCUUAGAUACAAAAGGACCGGUGGAGCAAGACUUCACUCUCCUGUUCGAUGACGACACAUCCUCCAGGUUGCUUCAGAAAUGGAAUACAGUCUUCAGGCCAAAUGCCAUAAAAGAGGCUGCGAAGUUUAUUUCAACACCAGAGUUGCUUAGCUUGGUGCAGUCAGCAGAAGGUCACAUAGAAAAUCAUCAUCAUUAUUCUACAACCUUUGAACAAGAAAUGGCAUCGCUGUUGUUGUUGUUGUUGUUACAUCUCCUUCCACCACCACCAGUAGGACAAAGGUCCAAAAAUCAGCGAAAGUGAUGCAAGUCAGAGACUUGUAGUCUUUCAUAAGUCAUGCUGCAGUCUGGAAGAGCAUCUCUGCAAUCAACAAGGUCGGCAACCAUACCUCCUCGCUGUCAGGCAUCAGAAGAGCAUGACUGACACCUUCGACAUCACCAUGGAUAAGCAUCUCAUUCCAUGCCAGGCGAGCCACUCACUUGGGGCAUUUGAUGAACUUUUCAAAGCACAUUUUGUGUUUAAUUUGUCCCAAGAUAAUAUAAAGCUGGACUUGUUAUUUGCAGUGCUGUGGAAGAAGACAUGCCAGUCUUUUGCCAAACAAGUGAUUUACUUUUGGUUGAGAUGACAUUUUUUUAUGGGAAACAAGUUGUUUACAGAGUGUUUUGAUAACCAUCUAUAUGCAUUCAGAGUUGUACAUACUGAGGAGAGAUGUAUAGUGAAAAUGCCAGAUCUAAAGUCUUAUAAAUCUUUUGAGAUGCAAAGGUCACACAAUGUUUCAGAUUAGACAGUGUACAUUGUACCCUCUUAACAAUUUUUUGAUGACAAAAUAAAUGUCCUUUUUGGGAAAAUUUAUUGUGUGCAAUGUAAUUCUUUCUCAAAAUUUAAUUUUAACACUUUUCGGUGUAGAAAGCCUGACACUAUAGGGAGAGAAGC